GCCUGGAUAGCUCAGCUGGUUAGAGCGUGGUGCUGAUAAGGUUGCAGGUUCAAUUCCCGUAUGGGACA